rnacentral:rRNA from 1 species
GCCUUACACAUGCAAGUCGAACGGCAGCACGGGGGUAACCCUGGUGGCGAGUGGCGAACGGGUGAGUAAUACAUCGGAACGUGUCCUGUAGUGGGGGAUAGCCCGGCGAAAGCCGGAUUAAUACCGCAUACGCUCUACGGAGGAAAGGGGGGGAUCGCAAGACCUCUCGCUACAGGGGCGGCCGAUGGCAGAUUAGCUAGUUGGUGGGGUAAAGGCCUACCAAGGCGACGAUCUGUAGCUGGUCUGAGAGGACGACCAGCCACACUGGGACUGAGACACGGCCCAGACUCCUACGGGAGGCAGCAGUGGGGAAUUUUGGACAAUGGGCGAAAGCCUGAUCCAGCAAUGCCGCGUGUGUGAAGAAGGCCUUCGGGUUGUAAAGCACUUUUGUCCGGAAAGAAAACUUCUGCCCUAAUACGGCGGGAGGAUGACGGUACCGGAAGAAUAAGCACCGGCUAACUACGUGCCAGCAGCCGCGGUAAUACGUAGGGUGCAAGCGUUAAUCGGAAUUACUGGGCGUAAAGCGUGCGCAGGCGGUCCGCUAAGACAGAUGUGAAAUCCCCGGGCUUAACCUGGGAACUGCAUUUGUGACUGGCGGGCUAGAGUAUGGCAGAGGGGGGUAGAAUUCCACGUGUAGCAGUGAAAUGCGUAGAGAUGUGGAGGAAUACCGAUGGCGAAAGGCAGCCCCCUGGGCCAAUACUGACGCUCAUGC